GGAAGACACGGUAGAGACUAACUCAUGGAGGUCCCAGACUUAAAAGAACACAGUUGCCAACUAUUACAUUAUACAAUAAGUAGAAAGGAAGAAAGAUGAGAUAAAGAUUCUAGGAAUUAGAAAAUCCAAUUAUUGUUUGGAUUCUAAACACUAUCUCUGUGCCCUUGGAAAUGAUGGAAUAACUGGGGGAAUGUAAAUGAAGUAUGCAGUUGAAUUCCAGAGAAAAUACACG